UCUCGAGUUUGAUUCUUGAGCAUCUGGUUGUUUGAGUCAAUAACAAUAGUGAUGUUUUUUCUAAAUGAUUUUGUACUAUUGACAUAAUGAGGCUUUCUUCUUGGAGUAUCGAGGUAGAAAAUUUUGAGAUUCAUGAGGUUAAAUUAUAUUUAUUGGGUAAUUUUUUUUUAAAAAAAUUAUUUUCAAAAAUAAAAGAUAAAAAAAAUAAUUAUUAUAAGAUUAAUAAAUAAUAUGUGAACUGUUUCAGACAUAUCACUUGAGUUAAUGGCAUGGUAGUUGCUUUAAUGAUUAAGGC
rnacentral:lncRNA from 1 species